CUACGGGCUGCAGCAGUCGAGAAGCUUCCGCAAUGGGGGAAACCCUGACGGAGCGACGCCGCGUGAGCGAAGAAGGUCCUAUGGAUUGUAAAGCUCUGUCAGAUUGGGAAGAAAAGUCUACGGUUAAUACCCGUAGGCCUUGACGGUACCAUCAGAGGAAGCACCGGCUAACUCCGUGCCAGCAGCCGCGGUAAUACGGAGGGUGCAAGCGUUGUUCGGAUUCACUGGGUAUAAAGGGUGCGCAGGCGGCCUGAUAAGUCAGGGGUGAAAUAUGACGGCUCAACCGUCAAACUGCCCCUGAAACUGUCAGGCUUGAGUCCGGGAGAGGAAGGUGGAAUUCCUGGUGUAGCGGUGAAAUGCGUAAAUAUCAGGAGGAACACCGGUGGCGAAGGCGGCCUUCUGGCCCGGUACUGACGCUCAGGCACGAAAGCAUGGGGAGCGAACGGGAUUAGAUACCCCGGUAGUC
rnacentral:rRNA from 1 species